rnacentral:rRNA from 1 species
CGGCUAACUCCGUGCCAGCAGCCGCGUUAAUACGGAGGGUGCAAGCGUAUCGAAUUACUGGGCGUAAAGCGCACGCAGGCGGUCUGUCAAGUCGGAUGUGAAAUCCCCGGGCUCAACCUGGGAACUGCAUUCGAAACUGGCAGGCUAGAGCUGUAGAGGGGGUAGAAUUCCAGGUGUAGCGGUGAAAUGCGUAGAGACUGAGGAAUACCGGUGGCGAAGGCGGCCCCCUGGACAAAGACUGACGCUCAGUGCGAAGCGUGGGAGCAAACAGGAUUGAUACCUGGUAGUCCACGCCGUAAACGAUGUCGACUUGGAGGUUGCCCUUGAGGCGUGGCUUCCGGAGCUAACCGCGUUAGUCGACCGCCUGGGGAGUACGGCCGCAAGGUUAAAACUCAAAUGAAUUGACGGGGGCCGCACAAGCGGUGGAGCAUGUGGUUUAAUUCGAUGCAACGCGAAGAACCUUACCUACUCUUGACAUCCAGAGAACUUAGCAGAGAUGCUUUGGUGCCUUCGGGAACUCGAGACAGGUGCUGCAUGGCUGUCGUCAGCUCGUGUUGUGAAAUGUUGGGUAAGUCCGCAACGAGCGCAACCCUUAUCCUUUGUUGCCAGCGGUCCGGCCGGGAAUCAAAGGAACUGCCAGUGAUAAACUGGAGGAAGGUGGGAUGACGUCAAGUCAUCAUGGCCCUUACGAGUAGGGCUACACACGUGCUACAAUGGCAUAUACAAAGAGAAGCGACCUCGCGAGAGCAAGCGGACCUCAUAAAGUAUGUCGUAGUCCGGAUUGGAGUCUGCAACUCGACUCCAUGAAGUCGGAAUCGCUAGUAAUCGUAGAUCAGAAUGCUACGGUGAAUACGUUCCCGGGCCUUGUACACACCGCCCGUCACACCAUGGGAGUGGGUUGCAAAAGAAGUAGGUAGCUUAACCUUCGGAGGGCGCUUACCACUUGUGAUUCAUGACUGGGUGAAGUCGUAACAAGGUAACCGUAGGGAACUGCGGUUGGAUCACCUCCUUACCUUAAAGAA